CAAAAACAUGUCCUUUUGUUUUAAAUUUAAGGUCUGACCUGCCCAAUGAUUAAUUUUUAAUGGCCGCGGUAUAUUAACUGUGCUAAGGUAGCAUAAUCACUUGUCUUUUAAUUAAAGGCUAGAAUGAACGGUUGGACGAAGUAUUUACUUUCUUUAGUUUAGUUUAUGAACUUAAUUUUUUAGUUAAAAAGCUAAAAUUUAUUUGGGGGACGAGAAGACCCUAUAGAUCUUUAUAUUUUAUUUUAUUUUGUAUUUUGGUAUUAAUUAAUUAUUUUAAUAAUCUAAUAUAUUUGAUUGGGGUGAUUGUAGAAUUUUAGUUAACUUCUAUUUUUUAUAUUCAUUAAUUAAUGUUUUUUUGAUCCAAUUUUAUUGAUUAUAAGAUUAAGUUACCUUAGGGAUAACAGCGUAAUUUUUUCGGAGAGCUCAUAUCGAUGAAAAAGUUUGCGACCUCGAUGUUGGAUUAAAAUAAGUUUUGGGUGCAGGAGCUUAAAAACUAGGUCUGUUCGACCUUUAAUUUUUUACAUGAUCUGAG
rnacentral:rRNA from 1 species